GAUGAACGCUGGCGGCGUGCUUACCUUUUGCAAGUCAAACGAACCUUCGGGUUAGUGGCGGACGGGUGAGUAACGCGUGAAAAUCUGCCCUCAGGAGGGGGAUAACGGCUGGAAACGGCCGCUAAUACCCCAUAUGCCGCGAGGUGAAAUGAAUUUCGCCUGAGGAUGAGCUCGCGUCUGAUUAGCUAGUUGGUGGGGUAAAGGCCUACCAAGGCAUCGAUCAGUAGCUGGUCUGAGAGGAUGAUCAGCCACACUGGGACUGAAACACGGCCCAAACUCCUACGGGAGGCAGCAGUGGGGAAUUUUCCGCAAUGGGCGAAAGCCUGACGGAGCAACGCCGCGUGAGGGAUGAAGGCCUCUGGGCUGUAAACCUCUUUUAUCAAGGAAAAAAAUCUGACGGUACUUGAUGAAUAAGCCACGGCUAAUUCCGUG
rnacentral:rRNA from 1 species